CAGUAGCCGCGGUAAUACGUAGGUGGCAAGCGUUAUCCGGAAUUAUUGGGCGUAAAGCGCGCGUAGGCGGUUUUUUAAGUCUGAUGUGAAAGCCCACGGCUCAACCGUGGAGGGUCAUGGAAACUGGAAAACUUGAGUGCAGAAGAGGAAAGUGGAAUUCCAUGUGUAGCGGUGAAAUGCGCAGAGAUAUGGAGGAACACCAGUGGCGAAGGCGACUUUCUGGUCUGUAACUGACGCUGAUGUGCGAAAGCGUGGGGAUCAAACAGGAUUAGAUACCCCCGUAGUCCCUGUCUCUUAUACA
rnacentral:rRNA from 1 species